UGGAACCGAGCUCCCUUCCAAGAAAUGGAAAACUUCCGAUAAGGAGAAUCUUUCAUAUUUCCGAAUAUGGAAGAGUUUAACCUAAUGGAACCGACUCCUAGACGACUAUAUAAGGCUAAUAAAACCCAAAAGCAAGGGAUCGACCUCUCCAAGGCUUAGAGACUAGAAUUAGAUGGCUAGAACUAGGGUUCUUAGUCAAUACCUUGUAAUCUUGCUUGUUCUAUCUAAUAAAAGUCUCUCCAAGCCUAUCUCUCUAUUAUCCUCUCAGAAUCCUCAC
rnacentral:lncRNA from 1 species